AACAAUACACACACUAGAGAAGUGUGUUCUAAUGGUUUUAUCAGCAUGUUUGGGAUGAGCUGCAUAACUCAUUCCUGUCUUUGCUACAUUUGGAUGGGAUAUUCUUUUUCACUUCCUGCUCUAAACCAUUGCCUGGCAUUGCACUGUUUGCUGUACACUCAUCAACAGCUGCCAUGUUUCACCACAAAGGCCAUUGUACUUCCCUGUAUAGUACUAAAGCUGCAAUGUCUACAGCGGUCACAACAGAAAGGAAGAGCUCACAGAGACAAAUGACCAAAAAGCAGAAAAUCUGCCGGUGAUUUUUACUUACCUUCACUAUGAAUCCCAAGAUGGAUAGGAAACCCUGCAGCCUACGUUCCGUCUCCAGGGGUGCUAACACUUCAUAAGAUUUGUGUAAUUCUCUAGGAAGCAUGGAGGCACUGCAGCCUAUUUAUCAAAAGUCUUUACAUUUUACUCACAUCAUCAUGAUUUGUAUUUGCUUGACUCAUUUUUUUACACUCCAGAUUUCUGCAUGUGAAAUUAAGUCAAUUACUACACCAGUACAUGAGCAGCCCAUCCUCCAUUCCAUUCCAUUCCCUUAUCCUAUAUAUAAAACCUUACGCUAUAAUCCAAUGCUGGCCUUCAUUUUCUUCAGAAAGACAGAUUCAGUAUUUUCCUUUGGGGGAAAUUAAUGAUUCUGCAGACAUUUCUGUUGUUUCUUGCUGUAACAAACCAUUAGCCUUUCAAAAUGGGCAGAGAACAGGGAAAGCUACCUGGAUGAAAGAUGCAAAUAAAGAAAUGAUAUAUCUUGAAA